rnacentral:rRNA from 1 species
UAUUGAGCUGUGAUGGGGAAGCACUUUCGAGUGCGAAGUACCUGAUGUCACACUGCCAAGAAAAUCUUCUAGCGUUUAAUUAUAACCUACCCGUACCGCAAACCGACACAGGUAGUCGAGGCGAGUAGCCUCAGGUGAGCGAGAGAACUCUCGUUAAGGAACUCGGCAAAAUGACCCCGUAACUUCGGGAGAAGGGGUGCUCUACAUUUGUAGAGCCGCAGUGAAUAGGCCCAAGCGACUGUUUAUCAAAAACACAGCUCUCUGCUAAAUCGUAAGAUGAUGUAUAGGGGGUGACGCCUGCCCGGUGCUGGAAGGUUAAGAGGAGUGCUUAGCGUAAGCGAAGGUAUGAAUUGAAGCCCCAGUAAACGGCGGCCGUAACAAUAACGGUCCUAAGGUAGCGAAAUUCCUUGUCGGGUAAGUUCCGACCCGCACGAAAGGCGUAACGAUUUGGGCACUGUCUCAACGAGAGACUCGGUGAAAUUUUAGUACCUGUGAAGAUGCAGGUUACCCGCGACAGGACGGAAAGACCCCAUGGAGCUUUACUGCAAGUUGAUAUUGAGUAUCUGUUGCACAUGUACAGGAUAGGUAGGAGCCAUUGAUCUGAGGACGCUAGUUUUCAGUGAGGCGAUGUUGGGAUACUACCCUUGUGUCAUGGCUACUCUAACCCGCAUGCCUAAUCGGCAUGGGAGACAGUGUCUGCUGGGCAGUUUGACUGGGGCGGUCGCCUCCUAAAGAGUAACGGAGGCGCUCAAAGUUUCCCUCAGCAUGGUUGGAAAUCAUGCGUAGAGUGUAAAGGUAUAAGGGAGAUUGACUGCGAGACUUACAAGUCGAGCAGGUACGAAAGUAGGACUUAGUGAUCCGGUGGUACCGCAUGGAAGGGCCAUCGCUCAACGGAUAAAAGCUACCCUGGGGAUAACAGGCUUAUCUCCCCCAAGAGUUCACAUCGACGGGGAGGUUUGGCACCUCGAUGUCGGCUCGUCGCAUCCUGGGGCUGUAGUCGGUCCCAAGGGUUGGGCUGUUCGCCCAUUAAAGCGGCACGCGAGCUGGGUUCAGAACGUCGUGAGACAGUUCGGUCCCUAUCCGUCGCGGGCGUAGGAAAUUUGAGAGGAUCUGCCCUUAGUACGAGAGGACCGGGGUGGACUUACCGCUGGUGUACCAGUUGUCUUGCCAAAGGCAUCGCUGGGUAGCUAUGUAGGGAACGGAUAAACGCUGUAAGCAUCUAAGUGUGAAACCAACCUCAAGAUGAGAUUUCCCAUUCUUUAUGAAUUAAGAGCCCUGAGAGAUGAUCAGGUAGAUAGGCUAGAAGUGGAAGGACAGUGAUGUU